UACGUAGGGUGCGAGCGUUAAUCGGAAUUACUGGGCGUAAAGCGUGCGUAGACGGUUAUGUAAGUCGGGUGUGAAAGCCCCGGGCUCAACCUGGGAAUGCCAUUCGAGACUGCAUAGCUAGGGUGCGGAAGAGGGAAGUGGAAUUUCAGGUGUAGCGGUGAAAUGCGUAGAUAUCUGAAGGAACACCAGUGGCGAAAGCGGCUUCCUGGUCCAGCACCGACGUUCAGGCACGAAAGCGUGGGGAGCAAACAGG
rnacentral:rRNA from 1 species